rnacentral:rRNA from 1 species
AAAUUGAAGAGUUUGAUCAUGGCUCAGAUUGAACGCUGGCGGCAGGCCUAACACAUGCAAGUCGAACGGUAGCACAGAGAGCUUGCUCUCGGGUGACGAGUGGCGGACGGGUGAGUAAUGUCUGGGAAACUGCCUGAUGGAGGGGGAUAACUACUGGAAACGGUGGCUAAUACCGCAUAACGUCGCAAGACCAAAGAGGGGGACCUUCGGGCCUCUUGCCAUCAGAUGUGCCCAGAUGGGAUUAGCUAGUUGGUGAGGUAACGGCUCACCAAGGCGACGAUCCCUAGCUGGUCUGAGAGGAUGACCAGCCACACUGGAACUGAGACACGGUCCAGACUCCUACGGGAGGCAGCAGUGGGGAAUAUUGCACAAUGGGCGCAAGCCUGAUGCAGCCAUGCCGCGUGUAUGAAGAAGGCCUUCGGGUUGUAAAGUACUUUCAGCGGGGAGGAAGGUGUUGUGGUUAAUAACCACAGCAAUUGACGUUACCCGCAGAAGAAGCACC